ACGCUGGCGGCAGGCCUAACACAUGCAAGUCGAGCGGUAGAGAGAAGCUUGCUUCUCUUGAGAGCGGCGGACGGGUGAGUAAUGCCUAGGAAUCUGCCUGGUAGUGGGGGAUAACGUUCGGAAACGGACGCUAAUACCGCAUACGUCCUACGGGAGAAAGCAGGGGACCUUCGGGCCUUGCGCUAUCAGAUGAGCCUAGGUCGGAUUAGCUAGUUGGUGGGGUAAUGGCUCACCAAGGCGACGAUCCGUAACUGGUCUGAGAGGAUGAUCAGUCACACUGGAACUGAGACACGGUCCAGACUCCUACGGGAGGCAGCAGUGGGGAAUAUUGGACAAUGGGCGAAAGCCUGAUCCAGCCAUGCCGCGUGUGUGAAGAAGGUCUUCGGAUUGUAAAGCACUUUAAGUUGGGAGGAAGGGCAGUAAAUUAAUACCUUGCUGUUUUGACGUUACCGACAGAAUAAGCACCGGCUAACUCUGUGCCAGCAGCCGCGGUAAUACAGAGGGUGCAAGCGUUAAUCGGAAUUACUGGGCGUAAAGCGCGCGUAGGUGGUUCGUUAAGUUGGAUGUGAAAUCCCCGGGCUCAACCUGGGAACUGCAUUCAAAACUGACGAGCUAGAGUAUGGUAGAGGGUGGUGGAAUUUCCUGUGUAGCGGUGAAAUGCGUAGAUAUAGGAAGGAACACCAGUGGCGAAGGCGACCACCUGGACUGAUACUGACACUGAGGUGCGAAAGCUUGGGGAGCAAAC
rnacentral:rRNA from 1 species